GACGAACGCUGGCGGCGCGCCUAAUACAUGCAAGUCGAGCGAGAACCGGGACUUCGGUCCCGGGGACAGCGGCGAACGGGUGAGUAACACGUGGAUAACCUGCCCUCGGCACCGGAAUAGCCCGGGGAAACCCGGAUUAAUGCCGGAUGGCCCCACAUCCCCUCGGGGAACGUGGGAAAAGGUAGCUUCGGCCUCUGGCCGAGGAUGGGUCCGCGGUGGAUUAGCUUGUUGGCGGGGUAAUGGCCCACCAAGGCGACGAUCCAUAGCUGGUCUGAGAGGACGAUCAGCCACACUGGGACUGAGACACGGCCCAGACUCCUACGGGAGGCAGCAGUAGGGAAUCUUGCGCAAUGGGCGAAAGCCUGACGCAGCGACGCCGCGUGCGGGAAGAAGGCCUUCGGGUUGUAAACCGCUUUCAGGAGGGAAGAAGCCGCUCGGGUUAACAGCCAAGAGGGUGACGGUACCUCCAGAAGAAGCCCCGGCUAACUACGUGCCAGCCGCCGCAGUAAAAC
rnacentral:rRNA from 1 species